rnacentral:rRNA from 1 species
ACUCCUAGGGAGGCAGCAGUAGGGAAUCUUCCACAAUGGGCGCAAGCCUGAUGGAGCAACACCGCGUGAGUGAAGAAGGGUUUCGGCUCGUAAAGCUCUGUUGUUAAAGAAGAACACGUAUGAGAGUAACUGUUCAUACGUUGACGGUAUUUAACCAGAAAGUCACGGCUAACUACGUGCCAGCAGCCGCGGUAAUACGUAGGUGGCAAGCGUUAUCCGGAUUUAUUGGGCGUAAAGAGAGUGCAGGCGGUUUUCUAAGUCUGAUGUGAAAGCCUUCGGCUUAACCGGAGAAGUGCAUCGGAAACUGGAUAACUUGAGUGCAGAAGAGGGUAGUGGAACUCCAUGUGUAGCGGUGGAAUGCGUAGAUAUAUGGAAGAACACCAGUGGCGAAGGCGGCUACCUGGUCUGCAACUGACGCUGAGACUCGAAAGCAUGGGUAGCGAACAGGAUUAGAUACCCUGGUAGGAUAGCG